UACGGGGGGGGCAAGCGUUGUUCGGAAUUACUGGGCGUAAAGGGCUCGUAGGUGGCCAACUAAGUCAGACGUGAAAUCCCUCGGCUUAACCGGGGAACUGCGUCUGAUACUGGAUGGCUUGAGUUUGGGAGAGGAAUGCGGAAUUCCAGGUGUAGCGGUGAAAUGCGUAGAUAUCUGGAGGAACACCGGUGGCGAAGGCGGCAUUCUGGACCAAUACUGACGCUGAGGAGCGAAAGCCAGGGGAGCAAAGCGGGG
rnacentral:rRNA from 1 species